rfam:Salmo salar isolate Sally breed double haploid chromosome ssa22, whole genome shotgun sequence.
GGAACUGUAGCUCAGUUAGUAGAGCAUGGCUCUUGCAAAGCCAGGAUAGUGGGUUUGAUUCCCGGGAUCA